AUUGAACGCUGGCGGCAUGCCUUACACAUGCAAGUCGAACGGCAGCACGGGAGCAAUCCUGGUGGCGAGUGGCGAACGGGUGAGUAAAGUAUCGGAACGUACCUUUCAGUGGGGGAUAACGUAGCGAAAGUUACGCUAAUACCGCAUAUUCUGUGAGCAGGAAAGCAGGGGAUCGCAAGACCUUGCGCUGAUGGAGCGGCCGAUAUCAGAUUAGCUAGUUGGUGAGGUAAAGGCUCACCAAGGCGACGAUCAGUAGCUGGUCUGAGAGGACGACCAGCCACACUGGAACUGAGACACGGUCCAGACUCCUACGGGAGGCAGCAGUGGGGAAUUUUGGACAAUGGGGGCAACCCUGAUCCAGCAAUGCCGCGUGAGUGAAGAAGG
rnacentral:rRNA from 1 species